rnacentral:rRNA from 1 species
GGUUCUUGGGCAACUGAGGACCUCGCACUAUAGGAGCGGCCGAUAUCGGAUUAGCUAGUUGGCGGGGUAAAAGCCCACCAAGGCGACGAUCCGUAGCUGGUCUGAGAGGAUGAUCAGCCACACUGGAACUGAGACACGGUCCAUACUCCUACGGGAGGCAGCAGUGGGGAAUAUUGCACAAUGGGCGCAAGCCUGAUGCAGCGACGCCGCGUGGGGGAUGACGGCCUUCGGUUGUAAACCUCUUUCGCCUACGACGAAGCGAGAGUGACGGUAGGAGCAGAAGAAGCACCGGCCAACUACGUGCCAGCAGCCGCGGUAAUACGUAGGGUGCGAGCGUUGUCCGGAAUUAUUGGGCGUAAAGGGCUCGUAGGCGGUCUGUCACGUCGGGAGUGAAAACUCAGGGCUUAACCCUGAGCCUGCUUCCGAUACGGGCAGACUAGAGGUAUGCAGGGGAGAAUGGAAUUCCUGGUGUAGCGGUGAAAUGCGCAGAUAUCAGGAGGAACACCAGUGGCGAAGGCGGUUCUCUGGGCAUUACCUGACGCUGAGGAGCGAAAGUGUGGGGAGCGAACAGGAUUAGAUACCCUGGUAGUCCACACCGUAAACGUUGGGCGCUAGGUGUGGGACUCAUUCCACGAGUUCCGUGCCGCAGCUAACGCAUUAAGCGCCCCGCCU